rnacentral:misc_RNA from 1 species
GAUGAAGAACGUAGCGAAAUGCGAUAAGUAAUGUGAAUUGCAGAAUUCAGUGAAUCAUCGAAUCUUUGAACGCACAUUGCGCCCGCCAGCACUCUGGCGGGCAUGCCUGUUCGAGCGUCAUUUCAACCAUCAAGCCCCCAGGGGCUUGUGCUGGGGCCCUGCGGCUGCCCGCAGGCCCUGAAAACCAGUGGCGGGCUCGCUAGUCACACCGAGCGCAGUAGCACAUCUCGCUCAGGGCGUGCGGCGGGCUCCUGCCGUGAAACCCCCCACUGUAACCCCAAAGGUUGACCUCGGAUCAGGUAGGAAUACCCGCUGAACUUAAGCAGAUCAAUAAGCGGAGGA